rnacentral:rRNA from 1 species
AAUGGGGGAAACCCUGAUCCAGCAACGCCGUGUGAGUGAUGAAGGUCUUCGGAUUGUAAAGCUCUGUUAGCCGGGACAAAACCCGCAAGCAUCAGAUCCUUGCGAUUGAUGGUACCGGCAGAGGAAGCACCGGCUAACUCUGUGCCAGCAGCCGCGGUAAUACAGAGGGUGCGAGCGUUAUUCGAAAUUAUUGGGCGUAAAGAGCGAGCAGGUGGCACGUUAAGUCUUGUGUGAAAUCCCCGGGCUCAACCCGGGAAAGUCAUGAGAAACUGACGAGCUAGAGUGUAAGAGAGGAAAGCGGAAUUCCCAGUGUAGAGGUGAAAUUCGUAGAUAUUGGGAGGAACACCGGUGGCGAAAGCGGCUUUCUGGCUUACUACUGACACUCAUUCGCGAAAGCGUGGGUAUCAAA